GGAAGGGGAAGGCACCUCGGGAGUGCUUAGUCCCCUUCUGUUCCUUGAUUAAGAGGUGAUGACAGCUUCACUCCACUACUACUGUCAACUCUCUCCUGACAUGAACUGAAGCCAUGUUUCAUGUGCCCUCUCAUCCACUGGCAAAUUUAAUGUUUCCUCUCCAAGCACUUCAAAUCCUGUUCUGCACUGAAGUCAAGCCUCUGAACACGUCAAAUCAUGCCUCGUACCCUCAUUCAAUCCCAGCUGUGAUCCCUUCCUAACACUGUUUUGGAGUGGAUCACAGACCAACACUAACACCACGUUGGGUCUGGACUGAAAGGGACCACCCCUGAUGACCCAAUCUGCAUUCAUCGCAUCCGUCGUCUAUAACAAACAGGGCAGGCAGGGGAAUUGAGGGUGUGCAACUUUUAU